UCUCUUUUCAUGACUGCAGAGGGUACUUGGGAUUGUUAUUGGGCUUUAUUGCAGCUACAGUCCCUUCUGUUACCCUAGAUUCCCAUCCACUCCUACAUGAUUUGCGUUACCACAGGCUCUACAAGGGACUGUUAAUGGGCUUAAAAACAGCUACAGCUCCUUAUGUUAAUCUAGGAUCCCAUCCCCACCUAACCUCUCUUCACAACUGCAGAGGGUACUUGGGACUGUUAAUGGACUCAAUUAGAGCUAUAGCCCCUUCUGUUAGUCCAGAUUCCCAUGCCCUCCUACUCAAUCUGCAUUACCAAAGGGAGUACAAUGGAUUGUUUAUGUGCUUAAAUGGAGCUACAGUCCCUUUUGUAACCUAAGAUUCCAUUUCCACCUAACUCCCUUUCCUGACUGCAGAGGGUACUUGGGACUGUUACCGAGCUUACUGUAGCUGUGUUCCCUUCUGUUAGUGUACAUUCCCAUCCUCUCUUACACGGUUUGCAUUACCACAAACUGUAUAACUAUUAAUGUGCUUAAAUGCAACUACAGUCCCUUAUGUUAACCUAGGAUCCCAUUCCCACCUAACUCCCUUUUCAUUAAUGCAGAGCCUACAUGGGACUUGUUAAUGGGCUUAAUUGCACUGCCCUCCCUUCUAUUAGUCUAGAUUCCCAGGCUGUCCUCGAUUUGCAUUACUAAAGGGGGUAUAAUGGACUGUUAAUGUGCUUAAAUGCAGCUACAGUCCCUUUUUUUUUUUUUAACCUAGGAACCCAUUCCUACCUAACUCCCUUUUUAUGACUGCAGAGGGUACUUGGGACUGUUAACGGGCUUAAUCACAGCUACAGUCCCUUCUCUUAGUCUAGAUUCCCAUCCCCUCCUACAGAUUUACAUUACCACAGAGGAUACAAGGGACUGUUAAUGUGCUUAAAUGCAGGUAUAGUCCCCUUUAUUGUUUCACCUAGGAUCCCAUUCCCAACUAACCCCCUUUGCAUUACCACUGACUGUACAAGGGACUGUUAACAUGCUUAAAUGCAAUUAUAGUCCCUUAUGGUAAUCUUGGAUACCACCCCCAACUAACUCACUUUGUAUGACUGCAGAGAAUACUUGGGACUUUAAAUGCGAUUGAUUGCAGCUACAGUCCUUUCUGUUAGUCUAGGAUCUGUUCCCUUCCUUCUUGAUUUGCAUUACCAGAGAGGGUAGAAGGGAUGGUUAAUAUACUUAAAUGGAUCUACAGUCCCUUUUGAUAACCAGGAUCCCAUUUCCACCUAACUCCUUUUGCACGACCACAGAGGCUACAAAGUACUGUUGAAGUGCUUAAAUGCAGCUACAGUCCCUUAUGUUAACCUAGGAUCUUGUUCCCACCUAACUCCCUUUGCAUGACUGCAGAGGGUAUUUGGGACUAUUAAUGGGCUUUACUGAAGCCACAGUCCCUUAGUCUAGGAUCCCAUCCCCUCCUACAGGAUUUACAUUACCACGGAGGGUACAAGGGACUGUUAUGGUGCUUAAAUGCAGGUAGAGUUCAAGGAUCCCAUUUCCACCUGCCUCCAUUUGCAUUACCAAAGAGGCUACCAGGGACUGCUAAUGUGUUUAAAUGCAGGUACAGUGCCUUGAGUUAACCCCGAAAUCCCACCUAACUCCCUUUUCAUGACUGCAGAUGGUAAUUGGGACUGUUAACAAGCUUUAAUGCAGCUACGGUUUCCCUCUUAGUCUAGAAUCCCAUUCCCUCCUACUUGAUUUACAUUACCACAGAGUGUACAAGGGAUUUUUAAUGUGCUUAAAUGGCACUACAGUCCCUUAUGUUACCUAUGAUCCCAUUCCCACCUAAUUCCCUUUGCAUGACUGCAGAGCGUACUUGGGACUGUUAAUGCGUUUACCUGCCUAUACAGUCUCAUCUGUCCGUCUAGAUUCCCAUGCCCUCCUACUAAAUUUGCAUUAUAAAAGAGGGUACAAAGGACUGUUAAUGUGCUUAAAUGCAGUUACAGUCCCUUUGUAAGGUGGGAUCCCAUUCCCACGUAACUCCCUUUGCAUCAUCCCAGAGGCUACAAGGGACUUUCAAUGUGCUUAAAUGCAGGUACAGUUUCUUAUGUUAACCUUGAACUAUAUUCCCACCUAACUCCCUUUACAUCACUGCAAAGGGUACUUGGGACUCUUAAUGGGCUUCAUUGAAGCUGCUGUCCCUUCUGUUGGUCUAGAUUCCCUUUCCCUCCUUGAUUUGCAUUACCACAGUGUACAAUGGACUGUUACUGUGCUUGAAUGCAGGUACAGUCCUUUUUUUUUUAAACCUAGGAUCCCAUUCCCACCUAACUCCCUUUGCAUUUCUGCAGAGGGCACUUGGGACUAUUUUAAUUGGACUCCUGUCCCUUCUGUUAGUCUGGGAUCCCAUCCCCUCCUACUUGAUUUGCGUUUCCACAGAGACUACAAGGGACUGUUAAUGUGCUUAUUAAAUGCAGGUACAAUCCCUUAUGUUAACCUAGGAUCCCAUUCCCACCUAUCUCCUUUUGCAUGACUGCAGAGGUAUUUGAGACCUUUAAAGUGGUUAGUGGCAGCUGUAGUCCCAUCUGUUAAGUGUACUUUCUCAAGCACUCCAAUUCCCUCACGUAACUUGGGAACAUAUUUCGGACUGUCACUGUGCUCGUUUUUGGCUGUGGUCCCUUUGUAAUUCUAGGAUCUCAUCCCUUUCUACUCAUUUGUAUUACUUGUUGGUAUUGGGACAGAAAGGUGCUUAAAUGCAGCUGUAAUCUGUUUUGUUAAUCUAGGAUUCCAUGCCCUCUAACUCCCUUAACAUUACCUAGGAGUGUAUUUGGGACUGUUGAAGUGCUUAAUUGCAUCUGUGGUCCCUUCUGUUAGUCUCACUUCCCAUGCCCUCUUACUCCCUUUGCAUUACAGCAGAGGGCACUUGGGACUAUUAAAGUGUUUAAUUGCAGCUGUGGUCCCUUCUCAGUCUGGGGUCCAUCCCCUCCAGCUUUGUUUGCAUUACCACAGAAGGUACUUGGAUCUGUGAAUGUGUUUAAAUGCAGAUAUGGUCCCUUUUGUUAGUUUUGGAUCCCAUGACCCCCUUUACAUUACCUGGGAGGGCAUUUGGGACUGUCAUGAUGGUAAUUGCACCUGUGUUCCCUUCUGUUGGUCUAGAAUCCCGUUACCUCCUACUCCCUUUGCAUUACAUGGGAGCGUUUUUGGGACUCUUAAGAUGCUUAACUGCAACUAUGGUCCUUUCUGUCAGUCUAGUUUCCAGUCCCUUUCUACUCCAGUACCCUUACCACAGAGGAUACUUGGGACUGUUGUGGUGCAUCCCAUCCUCUCACACCCUGUCAGCAUUACAGCAUAGGGUCCUGAACACCAAGGCCCCUUCUUUUCACUGUUAAUGCACAAUUGCAUUUGUCCUUCUUCCUCUGCAGUAUAUAAAGACCUCACUAACUUCCCUUGUAUUCAGUGGUGGAUGCCCUUUACUCAAGACCUUUGUACUAGAAUAAAGUGAACCAUGGUAAUUGACCACAAAUAUAUCUUUCACUGAAGUCCCUUGUACUCUCUUUGUUUUAUAAGAAGAUGUAUUAAUUACCUCCGUUACUUUUUCUGGGAGUAUUUACAUGCAAAAUUCCAGUGUUCAAGGCCCCUGUCUUUAAUAUCCCUCCCUUUCUGUAUUAUAUCAGGGGAUGUUAGUGACUCAGAGUCCUUCUCUUGGGACUCAUUGUGCAUGUGCCCUCGUGACAAGCUAAUAUCUUGAGUUCUUAGUAUUAUAGGAGGGACUACUGACUAGUUUCUCUUUUGGACAGUUAAUGUGCAAAAUUACACUAGGAUCCCAUCACAUUUCACCUCCUUUGCAUCAGGGGUCCUGAUCAACUGUGGCUGCUUUUCCUCUAGAGUUUAAACGUGCAUAAUUUCAGUAACCCAUGCUCCCUUAUGUUAGAUUAGGAUCCCAUUUCCUUGCCCCAUUUACGUUACUGCGGGGGCUUCUGACUAGCCAAGAUAAGUUUUCUUGGACUGUUAAUGUGUAUACUUACAUUUGCUCCUGUACACCAGGUAAGGACCCUCCCCAUUCUAUUUAUAUUCCAACAGGAGGUGCCUACUACUCAAGAUCUUACACACUACUGCAGUUAAUGUGCACAAUCUUAGUUGUCUUGUAUACAUUCUCAGUUGUCCACAACUGUGCUUUUUAGAUCAGGACUCCACUUAUUGAAGCACAGGUUACUUACUACCUUAAAGCCCUUGUUUUGGGACUGUGACUAUGUGUAAUUAAAAUUGUCCAUGGUCCUUUGAGUUAACUUGUGUCCCUGACUCUUUUCACACUCCCUUUGCUUUACUGCAUGGGGUACUGUCCACUUAAGGCCCCUUUCUCAAAUACGUGUAAUGACAAUUACAUUAGGAUCCUUCCCCUUCAAACCCCUUAGAAGUACCACAAAGAUUUUGACCCCUAAGUCCCAUUUCUUGUUCUGUUAUUGUAUUUGUCUGGGUUCCUGUGCACUAGACAAGGACACCUCUCCAUUCCCUGUCCUUCCAGCAGGAAGUGCCCCCUCCACAGGACUGUUAAAUUUGGACAGUCAAGGUGCACAAUUGUAACUGACCACAACCAGUCACCUUGGACAUUAAUGUGCAUAACUGCACAUGGCUCAUCCCAUAUGGAUAAGAUCCUAUCCUCUCAGACCCCUUUUGUAGUACAGCAGGGGUAAUGAUCACUAAGCCCUCUUUCUAUGGCUUGUUAUUGUGCAUAAUUGCAUUUGUGCAUGUUCCUGUACAGUUGAUGGGGGCACCUAUCUCCCCACUCCCUUUGUCUUUUAGCAGGGAGUGCCUGCUACUUUAAGAUCCUUAUAUUUGUACAAGGUAUACGAUUUUAAUUGACCACACCAUGUCCCUUCAACAUUAAUGUACAUAACUGCAACUUAGUUCAUCUUAUCCUGUUGCCCUCCAUUUGCAGUAUAUCAGGGUUGCUGACCCAUAUAUCCCCAUUCCUUGGCCUGUUAAUGUGCAUAAUUGCAUUUGGUUCUUGGGCAGUAGACAAGGAUCCCCUCCUCCCCCACAUUUCCUAUGCCUUCCAGUAGGUUGUGCCCACCAUCAAGACCUUUCUAUUUGGACAGUUAAUGUGCAGAAUUGCAGUUUUUCACAACCCUGUUACUUCUAGGACUAUUUUAUCUCCUUUGUAAUACUGCAGGGGAUAUUGUUUUCCCCCAAGGUCCCUUCUAGUGGACCGUUAAUACACAUAAUUGAAAUUGUUGUCUUUAUCAGUAGACUAAUGUCAUAUCCCCUCAGCUAACUAUCAUGACCUCAGCUCUUGGACAAUUAAUAUGCACCAAUAACAUAUCAAAAGUACGAUCAUUAGAUAGGACCCCUGUACCCUCACUGUAUACAUCAGAGGUACUGACUAAGGCCCCUUUUUUGGACUGAUAAUGUGAAUAUUUGCAAUUACCUAUUCUCUCUUCUUUUUAGAGUCGGAUAGCAUCCCUUUGCACCCCCUUUGCAUUACUGCAGGGGCUGCUAAUGACACAAAACUUCUACUGGGACUGCUGAUGAGCACAAUGGCAUUUAGCAAUGGGUUUUUCCUCCCUGGCUUUGUUAGGCAAGCAUUCCCAGCUCCAGCUUCCCAUGGCAUAAUAAAGUAUAAACACUGCAGUAUGCUGUGAACUUGUCCAUCAAACAACGACCCAUACUCCCACUCCUUUUGCAUUGGCUCCAGUGUAUCAAAUUCCAAGUAGUCAUAGUCUUGCCAUUAUCUUCCCUCUCCAGACCACUUGCCUGCCCUUGGACCCUUCUUAUGGAAUAUUAAUGCUCACAAUUUCAGGUGUCCAUGUAUCCAGAUAAGAUUGUGCUCUCUUGCCCCUCCUGCUCCUGCCCUGCCCCUUUUGCAUAGUUGAUGGGAAAUGUUGACUGAGCAAAAUGCUUUUCUCUUGGACUUAAAACGUUAACAAUCUCAGAUGUCAUUGUUUUGCCCAUUUUGAAUUUCUGUAAUACCUUGGUUGCACUUUCUUUGGUCCGGCCCGUUAGACAUGGACCCUUCCACUUCCUUCUUUGCAUUACUUCUGAGUAGUGCUGACCUCCCACAACCCCUUCGGUGUUAUUAACACAGUAUUAAUUGUCCCAUUUUUUAGCCCAUCAGCCCAAGAUCUCCCUACCACUUUGAUGUUGUGUUUGUGCAGUAUUGACUACCAAAAGCAAGCCUGAACUAGGUGGCUGGGCCUUCACUCCUUUUCCUGCAUUUGUCAAUGAUCCCAGUUCCAAUUCUUUUCACAUUCUGGGGACAGGAACCAUUCCUACCCCCCUCUUACUGCUUUACUAGGCAAAAUGCCCAAGGCAAGUCAGACCCAAGGGAACUGGAUUGCUAUCCUUUAUUUUGGGUUUUCAUUAUACAUAAGUAUCAAUUGAAAAUUGUCUCCCCAGGAAGGAAGUUUAGCACUCUCUGUGCAUUCUUCCUUUCAAAGCAGAUUGCCUGGCUAAGACUCUCUCCUCUCUUCUUGUAUAUUGCCAUUGUAUAGUGUCAACUGCCAAGAUACAACCAAAAAGUUGCUGUUAAGUUUUUAUGUUGUAAGGAAGAUUGCAAGUUAGAAUUGAUAACCUGGUCAUUGAAAUUUUGAAGUCUAAAAACCUAUUUAUACCAUGUACCUGAUGACCAGUGUCUCUCAUUUUACUAAGGGUGGUGGGUCUGUGGAUAGACCACUGUGACUUUGAUAUUUUAGUAUGAUCAAAGGAGUUCUAGAGUGGAACUCUUAAGACCAGUAUCUUUGGGCUCUACCACCAUUUUCAAACCAUUCCUUGUUUGGGCUUUAACAAUUUUCACUUUUAGAAAAACUACCUAAACCUCCUAAUCCUUAAAUUUUUUCAUCUGGAGCUCCAACCAGCCCCUACUUAUUUCAAGAAGAUUGCUGUAAAAGGAUAAAAAUGAGAGAACAUAUGCUGAGGUGCUUUUGAAAACCAUAGAUCAAUUUAUUUGAUUAAUCUAUUACAUAAAAUGCCCCCUGUUUAAUUCUGCUAAUUUAAAGUAGCCUAAAGCACCACACUGAAGUGAGGACUUAGAAAUGAUGGAACCAGUUUCCCCAUUUUAUAUGAAAAGAAAAAUAAGCCAAGGUCUAAUCAUUCUUUCGGAUAUAAAUUUCAACAGUGAGGUAGCUGCCUGGUAAAAAUGAAUAGUGUUCCAGCUCUAGUGUACAGGGUGUUUGGUGGCAGAGAAGUAUUUAAUAUGGAACUGCUGGAGCAAAUAACUAGUUAUCACUACAGCAGUUCUUUGUAAUCACUGAGAAAGGAUACUCUUCUCUGAGAAGGAUGUCAAAAGAUUCGCCCAGCUCAGGGUGCUGUUUGCACUACUAGCUCCUUGGACAGCUGUAAGAAGUCUCUGGCUCUUUAGAAUACUGGAUGAAUUCUGAGCUGGUACCCCCACUCAAGAGGAAGGAUGGAUCGAUUUUAGGUGGAUUGAAGCCUGCCCUAGACAGCAUCCAAAGGACAUUCUGAGCAUGUGAGACCUGAGGAACUGCAAGCAGCUUUAAGAAGCUCUACAUUCAACAAGUCUUUCCUUUUAAGAAUCUGGAUAAGCUCCAACCAAUCUAAGAGGAUGGCUUGCCGGCUCCCUGGAGAAAAAGCCCCUUAAUUUCUUGACCUCCAUUGUAUUUUAUGAGAAUACCAGGACAUUAAAAAUCCACACUCUCUAGAGGACUGUUCAUCAGUGGAGACUGGCAACUAAAACACAAUACAGGAAUUUGAUCUUCCUCAGAAGAAUAGGCUUGUUGCUUUACAGUGUUAAUGACCCAUUCCCUUUGACGAUCCCUAGGUGGAGAUGGGGCAUGAGGAUCCUCCAAGGGAAAAACUCACUAUCACUGAGCAACAACCCUAGGCCAGGAGGUUCUACCAAGAUUCUUUCCUGGGCCCAGUUAGGAGGAUGAAAUCUCAAGACAACCACCACACAUCCAGAGGAGAACAUGGACAACAACUGCCACAUCUGUGACAUUGAUCAUGAGCAGAUCAUCAUUCUGGACCCUCUGGUCUCCAAAGUCUCCCUUGAGGCCCUGUUGGAGAACUUUGCCAAUCAUUUACGUACUUCAGGAUGCCUUGGGAUAGCUGUUGGACAAAAGAAAAAACAAGCUGUUUGAGAAGAUAAAACAGAGCUGUGUCUUUUUAUGCUGUGCCUGCUAAUUGACAGAAACUUCACAGCUAUGAGUGGGAAUGUGACUAGAAGUGGCACAAAGUUAUCUAUCGUCAGGCUGGAUCUAAAGAACUAGCACCCUGCGUAUUCUAGCUCCUGAUUGUUCCCUUCAUAUCUGUCCAAUCAUUAUCUUUCCCAGAAGCAGUGCAAAGAGCAAGACAUUUGAACACACCAAAGGAAGAUCAACAUGCCUGGCACUCUAGAAUUUUAGAAUAGCAGAAUGAAUGUGUCUUUGUUUACUUAUCUAUUUCUUCCUUGAAUGUCUUUGGUCUUUCUCCUCUAACUAAAGUGUGUCUUACCCAUUUCCAUGAUUCUCUUACUAGUUUCUUCUCUGUAUAUCUUUGUCUCAUUUUCUUUCUUGUACCCAAGAGUGGUCUGUGUCUUGUCUUAGAUGUCUCUCUCUAGUGUUUUCAUUUUGUUACUGAUUCUCCUUGCUCUCCUAGAUCUGGCUCUUCUUUCACUGUUUGUCUCUUUGCGUCUCUUGAGUCACAUGCUGUGUGCCUUUUGCUCACUUCUUGCUAUGCCUACCUCUCUUCUUUUUCUCUUUGUGAACUGUUUGUCACCCCCUCCCCUUGAUGGUUUGACAUUUCACCUUUUCUGAUACUGGCCACCCUUCUGCUGUUUCUACUCUUUAUCUUGCAUUGCUCUUUUCUACAUAUUCUUUCUGCCUCUCUUGGGCCAUUUUCUCUUUUCUUCCUGCUUUGUGUGCCCCAGUGUCUCUUUGUUCUUUGUGAUUUUCCAUGUCAGCAUUCAUCUCUGUGUUCUCUUAUUUCUUCUCUGCUUUUGCCUUUCUACUUACCUUUGAGUAUUUCAGUCUCUUCUUGAGUCUAUGUCUCCCCCACUUUGAUUUCAUGCAGUCCUCUCUCCUUGCAUACUUUUUGUGCAUGUGUGUGUGCAUGCUUUUGUGUGUGUGUGUGUUUGUAACAAAGGGGUCUCCUAACCCCUUCCUAAUAGGUGCAGAGUGUCAGCUAUCAAAAUAUAAGCAUUGAAGAGCUGUUCCUUAUGCCAGGCCGCCUGUGAGAUGAUCCAAGACCAAUAAAAGGCCCAAAGGUCUAGACUGGAGUUGGACGGAAGACUCAAGUCUUGGUGAGACAGAAGGCCAAAGACCCAGGAUGGGAUGAAAAGCCUUCACUUGAAGACCUAUGACCCAAAAAUGGAAGGGCCCAAGCACACAUAAAGACCCAGAACUCAAGCCUGUCUAUAUAGACAGAAGGCCCAAGAGAGACAGAUAUCUCCAGACUAAAUUAGGCGGGAAGCUGGAGGCCCAUGACCCAGAAUCCAGGAAGGAUAGAAGCCCCAAGACCAAAGGAAAUUCCAAGAUGAGAACCCUAAACUGCAGCUCUUUUCUAUUGUUCUCCUCCCUACUCUUGGACAUUUUCAGUUCUCCCUUCCCUGUUUUCAUAUCUCCAUUUAAACCCACUUCUUUUGAGAUGUCAUUUUUGAUGUUGCUGCUACUUUAAAGAAACACACCUUUAGAUCAGUAAUAUUAUGCCUGGGCCAGUCUUAAGCCAGUUUUUAUCGCACUUUUAAGCCAUUUAUUAAGGUUUUGGUGUUUUGCAAAGUUCCAUUUCUCUUCACCUCCUCUCCACUUGAGAGGGACACAUAGGUGACUUUAUAUUUCAGUCCCUUCUUUCCUCAGAAGCUCUAGGCUGAUGAGAGAAGUAAAGCAUCAGGUUACUGAGUGGAAAAUAAGUGCCAGGCUAUCUAGAGAAAAUGUGAAGAGAUGCUCCAGGCCAAUGAGAAGAACUAGACAAGAAAUACACAGAUGUGCCAGCUUGCUGAGAAGCACCAGCCAGCAACAUAUUACUUCUUUGAGCUUGGGUGAGCAGGAUUCCUGAGGUUUGGGGUUCCUACUGAUAGUUAUGAAAAAGGAGGAUUGGGCCUGGGAAAGAGUGAGGCCCCAAGGAGGCAGCCUGAACUCCCUGCUCAUAGUAGUGGCCUAAUAAUGUGGUAAACUGUACCAAUCCUGCCCCUGGGUUUAAUACCUACCUCUAGGCAUAAAGAUGAGAGAAGUUGGGAAUAUUUAGGAGGAUUAAUCCCUUCCUUGAUAUUUUUCCUCUUACCAUGAGGAAAGAUAAUUUUAAUGAUUGAGAAUAUAUAUGAAAACACUGUAAAACAGAAAAAAAGCAAGGCAUUCUCAUUAAUGGUAUAUUGGCAUCCAUGCACAGCUAACAUUUGAAAAUGCACUGUCAGUUGUGAAGCAUUAUGUAAGUCGAGGUCAUCACACCCUUUCUGAAAGGGUCGGAUGGUAAAUAUUGUAGGUUUUACGGGCCAUUUGGUCUCUGUUGCUUUUUUUAAAAAAAGCAAGUGAAUUUGGCCUGUGGGCCACAGUUUAUCACCCCUGAUGUAAUUGCCAGGGACUGUGUGCUGAACAAUAUUAAUUUCCUUCUGUGUGCCUGUCCCUGUGUUAGACACUAAAGAUGCAAUGACUAUGAUUAUAUCUAGGUGAUCUGAAGAAAAAUAAGUGAAUGUGAGUUGUAAACUAUAAAGCACUUUAAAGACUUACAAGUUUCAGAGUUGAUGAAUGAACAUUGAUUACAUAGUAUAUACAUUCUAGGCACUGUAGAUACAAGGAAUAAAAGAAGCAUGAAUAAAGUGCUUUGUCAAAAGUAUGUAAUACUGUACAGAUAUUAGGAAUUAAGUGUUUGAUAAAUGAAUAAUUCAUGUAUUUCUGGCCAUUGUGUUUCUGUGGCUAUGGUGAUUUUGAGUAAAAAUACAGUAUUCCAAGUCGCAGAAGAGAAAACAUAAAAACUGCUUUUAAACCAUAAAAUACACUGGAAAUACAAGGGAUUUAAGCUAUUGUGAUCACUUAUAAUGUGCCAGAUACCAUGCUAGGCACUACAGAUGUCAAAGGGAAAAAAAUGUUCUCAUUAUAGAACAAUUAAAAAUUUUAGAUUGGCAAUACAUAUUAAAGUGCUUUGUACUAAAGCACUGUAUAAAUACCAAUGGGCUAUAUGUUUAUAAUGAAUGAAUAAGUAUUAAGUGCCUUAUAUGUACCAGCUAUUGUUUCAGGUACUAUGAAAUCCAAGAUAAUGCUCCCAAGUAAUAAGAGGGAGGUUUAUGUCCUAUACUAUUUGGAUGUAAGAAUUAGAUCUUGCUUAUUUUAAUCAAUAAAGACUUUACUGGUGAUAUCAAAUUAAAUUAUUACCAGUAUAUUUUCCCUGGUAGCAGGAAAAUGUAAUGAAUGAGAUUGAGCUUUCUAACUAUAACGUGCUGUAUAAAUAUAAGACAUUAGAUGUUUUCUAUGUGAACAAACUUAUGUGAGACAGGCAUGGUCUCUACAAAAUUCUCAUUGUGUGCUUGACCCAUAUGAGAAAGGUAGUAUAAAUAGUUAUACAAACUGAGGGUUUAAAUGCUUGUUAAAUGAAUGGAUUAUUAAUAUCAGUUGCCUACUAUGUGAACUCACUGUUAUAGGCAUAAAGAGAUAUACAAAUUUAUCAUUUUAUUGUGCCUAAAGCUGAGAAUAAGGCAAUGUUAGCAUUUUGUGGACUCUAAAGCACCAUAUAAAUGUAACUAUUGAUUUUUUCAUUUGGUGUGCCUAGUACUAGGUUUACAAAAUUAUAUCACAGUUACUAUACCAUGAAAAAAAGUCAAAAAAUUUGAGGAAGGAUUGUUAACUAUUGAACAUUUUUAUAUGUAAAGGAUUAGAUAUCUAUGAAUGCAAGACUGGAUAAUAAUUAUCUAUUAUGUGCCAGUCUCCUUGAUAAGCAUCAGGGAUGUGAAGAUAGUCCAUCUUUAUUGUGUUCUGGGCAGCAGAAGGUAAUGUAUAAAAUCAAUUUGUAAGUCUUAAACUGGCAUAUAUAAAUAUAUAAGCCAUAUCUGCUGAAUGGACAUUGAUUACUUUCUCUUAUUCCCAGAGAUAGCAACUGGGGAUGCAAAAAUUCAUUGUCAUUAUUAUUGAACCUGCAACAGAGAUCUGUGUGUAAAUUUUACAAAGCCUACUGUUCUAUACAGAUAUAAGAAAUUAACUGUUGGCUUAAUGAAUGAUUACUGAUUCCUUUCUAUGAGGCUCAGAACUGCACAUGCACUAGGAUAUAAAAAUGAUGUUAUCCUUAGCAUAUGGUCACAGGAGGAAAUGAGGUAACAGGUGUGGGAAUCCAGACUGAAAGUUACUUAACCACUGCCAAGCCUAUUUGAUGAAAUUUAAAAACAUGGGCAAAAUGGAAUUGUGCAAGGCAGUAUGCUGAAUGCUGAGCUAGGUGGAAAGAUAAAAUCUAUACCAGAAGGCUACUUGCUCCCUGACCUGACCAAAGAAAUGGGAAUUUUUUUUUUUUAAGCAAGGUGUUAUGGUUCUCCAUUGGUCUUUUAAAUGCUGAAGAUGGAGGUGAAUUAGAUCCACCCUGGCCUGGCUUAGAGACAUUAAAGGAGUAAAAAAUGGCUCAGGUUGGCUUUUAGAUUAAUUUGAUUAACAGAGCAUCUUUUAUGUGGAAUACAUCAUUCUAGGUCCUGAACAUAACAGAAUUGAAAUGGGCCUAGUCUAAAGGGCAUUAGAUAGAUCACAGAUCAUAGCUGAAGAUCCAGAAACACCUUUGAUUUUUGAGUAAAUACUUGAGUUCCUGUUCUCUGGAUGAAUUAGUAGAUUAAGUCUGGUCCAGAAAACCUAUUGACUUGUCUUGGAGAUUGAAAAAAUAGGAAGAAAAAAAGAUAUGGUUCUUUCAAUAUAAAAUGAAGACAUUUUUCCUGGCUCUAGAAAGUCCCAAUGUCACUUGCUCAUUGACCUAGCUUGAAGCCAGAAGACUGAUAAAAGGCCUUAGGGUUUGUCCUUUAAUUCUUUAACAUUCUGCUUUUAUUAUAGUUAAAUUAAGAUGAGAAUUAAGAUGAAACAACUAGUUUUAAAAGUAUUUGCUCAUUGGCCUGGCAUAGAGUCAGGAAGCCACUUAACAAAAAAGAUUCUUCCUAAAUUUUCCAUAUUUUGUAAAUUAUUCACUUGAAUGAAAUACUGUUCUGCUGAGGAGAAUGAAGAGAUUUUAAAAGACCUAGACCAAAAUACACUUUAAUCUAACUAGCUUAUGGAGGAAACACAAGAGCAAAUUUAAUAAGAGACUGCAGUUCUUUCAUUAGUUGAAAAAACUUCAUUGAGCAGCUGUGAUAGUAAGACACUGAGAUGGAAUGAUUAAUUAUAUCACCUUCUCUUUGGCAUGUUUUGUAGAGUAGGAAUAAGAGAGCUUUUUAGUUAUUCAUUCAUACAAACAUUGAAGAAGGUGAUGCUAAAUGAAAUUGAUCUGGUACAAAAUGCACUUGGAGAUGCAAUUAAAAAAACAAGAAAUUGAGUGAAACUCUUCAUUGAAUAGAAGUGUCUAUUCUAUUUCAGAUCUUGACUGAAAGACACUUGCUUGGCUUGGAAAUUGGAAUAUAAGAGGAGAGGUUACUGUUCAUUCAUUUUUUUCAUUUAUUCAUUCACUCUACAAGUAUGUUUGAGUGCCUAUUGUGUAUAAGCUCCUUAGCUAGGUUCUCAGUUGGCCCCAGAGACAUGAAAAAAUGAAUACCUUCCCAGAGAACUUUUAAAACUUGCCUUUUGGUCUGUUUUCUGGUUAGGGGUAUGGCUUAUUUCCUCAAUAAUAAUGUGUGGUUUAAUUCCUACUCCAUAUUUCUUCUACCACUCUGGCCACUACAAUAAGCAAGGGUUUCUACUGAGCUUGCUCCUUGAGUUGCAGGAACCUUCCUUAUAAUAAACACUUCAGUUUUCCUAACCCAUCCCUCAUGAAAAAUGGCUGUGACUGUUGGUGGGCAGAAAGAGGGAUGAAAAACAACUGAUUCCCAAACCUCAGUCUCAUUGGUACAAACCUCAGUCUCAUUGGUACCAGCCUUGGGGAACCACUCAUACUUAAGCCACAAUUGGUUUUGAAACAACACAGGUUUCGUCUAUUUUCAAUUCUUUACCUUUUACAUUCUAACAAAUAUACACUGCCUAAAUAGAUCUCUUUAAAAAACAAUCCUCUGGUAGUACUUAGCAAGUUUGGAGAUGGAGACAUGAUUUCUGUUUUGCAACAGCUUCUCAACUUACAACUUGGAAAUCGUUUCCUUUUUACCAGCAAAACCUGCUUAAGAAAAGACAUUAUAAUUAAAUAAUGCAGUGAAUGAAAAUAGCUUAACAAUUUACCAUGCUUAAGUUUUAAGAAUGAUAAAAAUUGGAAGAAUUGGCAAAAAUUGGAGGGAAAAAUUACAAAAAAAAAAAAAUCUUCUAUAUCUAGGCCCAAAUGGGUUUUGGCCUUUUCUAUUUUUUAAAUCACUCACAGAGGGUGGGAUAGGAGGAAGAGUGAAAGAAAAGGUCAAACCUGAUUCUAAAAAGGGUUGGUCUUAAAAGCAUUACUACCUCCGAAUCUAACUUGGGGAUUGCUGUUUUUAGUUUAAUGCAAUUCCAGUAACUGGUCACUGUUGAGAUGAGGACAAAGUCCUUUGUCCCCACUCAUUUCUGUAAGUUUUUGAGAAACAAUUUUUUGUUUAAUGGUUAUUGAUUAAACCUUGGGUUAGAUAAUUAUGGAAUUUAUUAAUUAAAUCUAUGUUACCUCUCCAUCAUAAGGUAGUCUUAAAGCUAAAGUCAAAAUUCACUGCAGAGGAACAGGACUUUAUUGUUCACUAUAAUUCUUACAUACUUUCAAACCAUCUAAACUUUAGUUUACAUGGCAAGCCAACAAUAACAUAAGUAAAUGGAGAAGGAAAUAGAUGAAUGGCAAAAGAUAGUUGCUGGAGGGAGCAAAUUUGAAGAGGAUUUGAAGGUGAUGUUUCUAGUUUUUGCUUUGUACAUUUUAAUUUAAUCUUCAGGUAUAUCUGACAUGUUAAUAAUGUUUGGUGUUUAAUAUGUGCUAUUAGCUGGAUUCAGUAACUCCCCUUUCUUCAGAUGGGGGUGGGGGGUGCAUUAUUGGAAAGUAGAAAGGAGAAAGUAACUAAGAGCCUUCCUUUCACAGUUUCUGGCAUCCCAAGACUACCACUACUGCUAAAAAAGAAUAAGAGAACAUGUUAUCAUCUGAUUUUUGUGGCAUAAAUGAAGUUGUGAAAAAAUCUUUUUUUACAAAGGAAAUGGCUUCAUCUUUAUCCUUCUACCUCAAAGGGAAUCUAUGCCAAAAUGCUCCGAUGAAUGGAAGGCACACUUGGACUUGUGAACUGAAGUGAAACGCAGAAUCUCUGAGCCAUGGUUGUUUUGAAGAUCGAAAAGUCUUGUUCAGCAUGGGUGACCAGCAAAAAAGCAAUCUAGAGCUGUCUGUAUGUCACAACUGAGACAAAUUGGGGAAUUUGUUGUUUAAUGCCAAAUAAAAAUGUACUGUUUUGAAAA